rnacentral:tRNA from 1 species
GGGGGCGUAGCUCAGUUGGUAGAGCGUUCGCUUUGCAUGUGAAAGGGUCCCCGGGUUCAAACCCCGGCGCCUCCA